rnacentral:rRNA from 1 species
GGGGUAUAGUUCUUCGGAAUUAGAGACCGGCGCACGGGUGCGUAACGCGUAUGCAAUCUACCUUUUACAGAGGGAUAGCCCAGAGAAAUUUGGAUUAAUACCUCAUAGUAUGUGAGAAUGGCAUCAUUUUCACAUUAAAGUUACAACGGUAAAAGAUGAGCAUGCGUCCCAUUAGCUAGUUGGUAAGGUAACGGCUUACCAAGGCUACGAUGGGUAGGGGUCCUGAGAGGGAGAUCCCCCACACUGGUACUGAGACACGGACCAGACUCCUACGGGAGGCAGCAGUGAGGAAUAUUGGACAAUGGGCGCAAGCCUGAUCCAGCCAUGCCGCGUGCAGGAUGACGGUCCUAUGGAUUGUAAACUGCUUUUGCACAGGAAGAAACAACAUUACGUGUAAUGUCUUGACGGUACUGUGAGAAUAAGGAUCGGCUAACUCCGUGCCAGCAGCCGCGGUAAUACGGAGGAUCCAAGCGUUAUCCGGAAUCAUUGGGUUUAAAGGGCCCGUAGGCGGUUUGGUAAGUCAGUGGUGAAAGCCCAUCGCUCAACGGUGGAACGGCCAUUGAUACUGCCAGACUUGAAUUAUUAGGAAGUAACUAGAAUAUGUAGUGUAGCGGUGAAAUGCUUAGAGAUUACAUGGAAUACCAAUUGCGAAGGCAGGUUACUACUAAUGGAUUGACGCUGAUGGACGAAAGCGUGGGUAGCGAACAGGAUUAGAUACCCUGGUAGUCCACGCCGUAAACGAUGGAUACUAGCUGUUGGGAGCGAUCUCAGUG